rnacentral:lncRNA from 1 species
ACAAAGCACUUUCACACAUGUCAAUUGUGAAUAAACUUCAUUUUUUAAUCUUAUUUGAAAGUAAGUCAAGUGCGUCUCAAAAGCAUUUUAUCAUACAUACAUCAAGUGCGUCUCAAUAGCACCACCACAAAUGGCUAUGUAUCUCUUUCAAAAACAGCAUUACCUCGCGCCAUAGGGAUGAGAAUGUAAUGCAUAAGAGUAAUUAUACGGCUUAGUUUGACCAACAAAUGGGUCUCCACCAUAUUUUCCUCUUUAUCAAGGCUUAAGCCUCAUCCCCCUCGACGUAUCCAAGACAACUUUCUUGGUCAAUCCUUUAGCAAGAAGAUCAACAAAACUCUUUUAUCCUCUUACAUGCUCAAGGAAAAUCAAACAAUUCUUAAUCAAUUUCUUUGCAACAUGUAUGACAUGUAUUUCUCUCUAUUGCAAGCAUCGUUAUUGCCAACUCCAGCUGCUUCUUGUGAAUCACAAACACAAGCUUAAGCUCAAACUGAAUCAUUCAUAAACCUCAAGACACCUUAAUCCAAUAAUCAUAUUAUAAAUUCAAGAUCGAGAAUUUAUAGACAACAACACCAUGAGCAUAACCUAUGAAGCAAUGUGCUUUAGCAACAAUACUCUUUCCCUUAACAUCUGGUAUUUAAACUUUAGUCAAAUACCCCCACAAUUUUAUGAUUUUCAAGCAUAUGAAAAAUCAUUUCAACAACACUUAAACAAUUUUCACAAAUUUCAUCGAAAACCUUGUUAAGAAUAUAGCAAACACAACAUAGCAUUCAACAUUUUUCCUUUACCUUUUACCUUUCAGCUGCUAUGUCAUAUUGUUGUGUUAUAAUCAAAUCAAGCUAUUAAUAACCAACACAAAAUUAUAUCAAUUCAUCAAACUUAACAUCAUAUAAUUUUAAGGCUUAAUACAUCAGAAGACCCCUGAAAUUGUAAAGGGAAUCAGUUCCAGGGCCUGUAAAAUUUUUGCAUCAAAUUGGGUCCCUAAGAAUUUUAUUUUAAUUCAAUUAAGGACAAAGUGUGUCUGAUGCUGAAGUGACUUCAAUUUUAGCCUACUCAGCUUUUCCACGUGGCAUUUGGAAUUAUUUUUUAAUUGAAAAAUUUUAAAGCUUAAUUUUUUAAUUUCAAACCCUCUCAAAUUAACCCCAAAUCAUCUUCAUCAAAACCAAACUCAUGUUAAUUUUCAUUAACCUAGCAAAACCCACCAUUGUGUUCAACCCCAAACCAGAACAAGAUUCUAAAAAAAAAAAAAAAAAACAGAUAUGGGAUAGAACAAUAUUCUUCAGCCUUCUUCAACCUCCUACCUAGCUCCAUCUCUCCUUCAAUCUCUGAUACGUCUCCCUCUCUCACUCCUCCAUUGAACCUCAUCUCAUCUCCUUCACAAGCCAUCACUCAACAACCACAUAAACCCCAUUCAUUUCUUAGAAAGCUGAAUGUAUUUCCAUGAAACCCAGUGCAGAACAAACCUCCCACUUCACCAUCAAAGCAAGAACAACCCUCAAGCCUUUCCUCCGCAACCAGCCGCCACCAAAAUCAAAAACCACCAUUGAAUCUCUACACCCACAUCACACAGCAGCUACACACACCCGACCAAAACCCCACUCGUUGAUUCGAACCACCCACCUUUCACAAUCUCCAUUUCAACCACCAUAAAGCCUCACUGCAGCCAAAUCCAACACUACCCUCAAACCGUACCAAACCCAAAACCGUACCAAACCCUACCAAUAUCCAAUUUCUUGUUCUUGGUGAUGGAGGAGGAAGGAGAGCUUUGGGUUCAAUUUGGGGAUGAAAGGGUUUAAUUAUGGAUUGGUUAUAAUUAGAUUAUUAGGUUAGUUUAUUGUUUAGAUUAUUAGAAUGUUUAGUUAAGGGAUUAUUAGAUUAGGUUUUUAUUAAGUUUUUAAUUUUUUUUUUCUAAAUUAAAUAAUUGAGUUGGAAUUAAUUUUUUUUUUAAUUUAUUAAUUAAAAAAAAUUAUAAAAGCCGUGUGUAAUUGAUGACUAGGAAAAAAUUGAGGUCUGACAGCAUUUGGCCUUAAUUGAAUUAAAAAAAAAAAUUUAGGGACCCAAUUUGAUGCGAAAAUUUUACAGGCCCUAGAACUGAUUCCCUUUACAAUUUCAGGGGCCUUCUGAUGUAUUAAGCCUUAGCUAAUUGACUAUUUUGGGUUAAUACAUCAGAAGGCCCCUGUAAUUGUAAAGGGAAUCAAAUCCAGGGCCUAGAAAUUUUUUGCAUCAAAUUGGGUCCCUAGAAAUUUUUUUUUAAUUCAAUUAAGGCCAAAGUGUGUCAGCCUUCAAUUUUAUACCAGUCAUCAAUUCCAUGUGUCAUUUUGAUUUUUUUUAAUUGAAAAAAUUGAAUACUUAAUUUUUUUUAAUUCCAAGUCAUAAAUUAAAAACAAAAACUUAAUAAAAUCUUAAUACAAAAUCUAAACUAAUCACUAAUAAUCUCUAAUCUAAUCUAAAAACCUAAUCUAACCUAUUCAGCUGUGAUACAACCAGUACCUAUCACAACCUAGUAGUGAAGGAAAAUAAUCCCAACAAAUCUUCAAGAUGAACAUUACAGCCCCAAUUACAAGUAAAUUAACCAAACAAUAUAAUAAACAAAUUUGGUUGUUCACCAUCAGCAAGAUACCCAACAUUGAUUUAACAAAGGGACCAUUCACCACCAUCAACAAUAUAACAGAGUAAUAGACUGAUGGGUCUUCCAAGUGCAGAGAAGAACGAGUCAAAAAUAAAGAGAAACAUGUGAAAGAACCCAGACCGGAGAAGCAUGAGAGAAACCCAAAUCAAGAGAAAAAUUAAAAUUCCUAACCUAAUGAAAAAAACCCAAGAUCUGUAACCAAAAGAAGAAAAAAAAAACCCCUCAUCUGAUUCAUCAUCUUCUUCCGCUUCCAUCAACACCAACUUUCCCGCUCCCAAAAUCUCACCUCCAUGCCUGAGCCCUCAGUAAAGCAGACGCUCGAUUCGAAGGUUGAGUUUGCAGAAGACGUCGACAUCGUCGAAGGCCGCAACAGCGAUUGGGAGAUCGUGGAGCUCGAUGUGGAGGAAGGCGGCACUGGUGGAGGAAGGCGGCACUAGUGGAGAUCGUGGAGGUUGGGCCUCAGACAGAAGAGGUUGGCUAUGCUUUCCACCAGUCAAGAAGAAGGAAGAUUAGGUUAGGUUUAUUUUCUGGUUAGGUUUAUUUUCAGAUUAGGUUAGAUUUUUUUUUUAGAUUAGAUUAGGUUUUUUUUAAAUAGUAUGAGUUGGUUUUUUAUUAAGUUUUUAAUUUUUUUUCUGAUUAAAUUAUUGAGUUGGAAUUAAAAAUAAUUUUUUAUUAUUUUUUAAAUUAAAAAAAGCCACGUGGAAUUGAUGACUGGGAUAAAAUUGAGAGCUGACACACUUUGGCCUUAAUUGAAUUAAAAAAAAAAUUCUAGGGACCCAAUUUGAUGCAAAAAUUUUCUAGGCCCUGAAUUUGAUUCCCUUUACAAUUACAGGGGUCUUCUGAUGUAUUAAGCCUAUAAUUUUAUACUGGUAUAUAUAUUGCACAUUGUCAACUUCCUGUUAAGCCAAGAAGACAAAUCUCAAACAUUACAUCUAUAAGCUUUGAAUCAUUACAAAGCUACAACCCGUGUUACACAUGAAGCUGAUCUAAUCACAUAAGUCAACAUAACCUGAUGAAUAUCAUAUUUAUUCAUACAUAUCAUUUAUCAAUAGGUAGACUUAGUCUCAUAAAAUAUAUCAAAUAUAAGUCCACUAAAUCUCAUGCAUAACGGGACUUAGCCAAAUCAGUCUCAAAGGUUCGAUCUUUAUAGAUAUAUGAUAUCCUUAUGUCAAGUAAAUUAACAUUAUCAAUUAUGAGAUGAUCUGACUUUGCCCGUGGUGCCUUCAUUAUUAUAAUUUCUUCUAGCAUCGAGAAAUUUUCUAAAGUCAUCAUCACAUAUUUUGCCACAUAGAGAUGCGGAUACGUACCUGGGCUUUGACCCAAAUUUUGAAAACCACCAGUCUCAUGCAAGCGCAGGUGAAAGGGUGGAAGUUCCUCUCCUUUAAGCUUUCUCACCCUUCACUUAAAAGACAAGGUUUUCAUGUCCAGGAGAAGAAUCCCUACAAGCAUCACAAACCACUCUUUCAUGGAUUCCACCCGUCGAAGCAGUCACACAAAAAGCAAAGGAGAUGAACAUAAUUAGUUAAAACGCAUUUUCAUCUUCUCAUUCUUAGCAUUUGAAUCAUUUUAUGAAAGAGACAAAGAAAUACAUAUCUUUCAAGCAGCACGCCAACGACACUAACAAGAGUAAAAUAAUUUUUGCUUUCAAAUUGUUGGAAAUAUUAGGAAGAUUGUUGCGACGUGGACGAACCACUGCCUUGAAAGCAAAAAUUCUGGCAGAUCUCCGGUGCAAUCCAUUACCGGGUUUGCUCUCCAAGGUUAACACAGCCGCAUGUAAGGCACUGUACACUCAGAACCUACACAUGCUGGAGUCUCUACAACAACAGUGCUCAAAAUUUACAAAAAGAAGAAGUAGUUCUUUAUUUUUAUUUUUCUAUCUCAUACAUAGUCCUAGCGGCACCUUAUUCUUUAUAGAAUAGCCUCAUCACCCUCUGCCAUCCAACCGUUAUACCACCAUCAAAAUACAAAUAAAGGUGGAGUUAGAGGCAUCAAAGCUGGACAAGAGGAAUACCAACGUAUAUCUCCUCUUAAUGAUAUUAAAAUAGUUUAAAACCCUUUGAAAGUUUCAACUAUUCCAAUCCAAACGGUGAGGUCAAAUAUAAGGCUUAUUAUUCUUAAAUAAAUGAUUUGAAAUGUCAUUAAUUCCAACAGUAAUCAUAUACACACCAAGAAACUCCUCAAUUGAAAAACUAUUGUCAAGUUUUUAUAUUAAAGAUAUGGUCCUGCAUGCCCAUACUAACACUAUUUUGUGUAUUGUAUGGUUUUUUAGACAAGAGGUUAUUUCCAAAAAAAAAAUUAACUUUAUUCUAUUAAAAUAAUAUCCAUUUUUUUCUUUAUUCUAUCAAAGUUACUUAUAUCAAACUUACUUUUGUCGUCCUCGAAUGAUAGCUCAAGUGGUAAGAGUUAGAGACAUAUGAGUUCGGUGUGGGAGGUCCAAUUAAUGAUCAAUUUCUGAAUAGAGAAAAAGUUUGAUGCACCGACGGUGUAAAGUUUUUUUACACCGUC